CAACCAUUUGGAGGAAACCAAGCCGAGAAUUUUCAGGGCUUUUAGAUCCCAGGGUUGGCAAGAAUCUGAGGUCUAGGGGCCCAGGGACAGCUCCUAGAUUCUCUUACCCCUCCUUCAGUGAGAUGACUGGCUUGCUAAGUGGGGUCAGAGUUUGAACCAAAGGAGAAGAUAUUUACCCGGGUUCGGUGCACAGGCUGGUCAUGGAGCUGCUACAGGAGCAGCCUAAGGUCGGUCCCAGUUGCCUGCCUGAAGUCCAGCCUCUGAAACAUUUGUUUGCGUGCCUUUGAGUUUAUAAUGCACAAAGGACCGCCAGGACUGGGGGUAGAAGUGACCCAAGCCUCUCAAAGGGAGGGCUUGGGCAGCAUUGUGGGUGGACAGAGGUCUCUAGGGAAACUCACACCCAUUUCCCUCUGAAGCAAAAAAGUAAAUUCUAUUAGUUCCAACCAACCAGGACUUUUCCUGUGCCAGACAUCCUGCCAUGAGGAAAUUUUAGAGCAAGGACUCCCAGCAUGCCGCCCUUCUGUAGGAAUGCGAAGUUGGGCUUCCUUUCUUUCCUGAUCUGUGCGGGAAGGAGCUUAUUACCUUUGGGGACAGAUGCCUUUUGGUUAGAAAGAAUUGAAAAUAAAUAAAACACUCUGGGAAAAGGCUCAAAGUCAGAAAAUGAGAUCCAAGACUUCUUUGGUGAUGAGGAAACGAAUACGGCUUUACCGAAACGCCCUGAAAGAGUCGAGUAGCAGUUCCGGACACCAUGGCCCCCAGCUCGCUGCCGCCUCCAGCCCCUCGAUGUUCCCGGGCCUUCACGAGCAGCCUCCCCAGGCCUCCCCUAGCGGCGCUCUGAAUGGACUCCUGCGUCUGGGGCUCCCCGGAGACAUGUACGCGCGACCUGAACCCUUCCCGCCGGGACCUGUGUCCCGCAGCGACGCCCUGGCAGCUGCCGCAGCCCUGCACAGCUACGGGGGCAUGAACCUGACCAUGAACCUCGCCGCGCCGCACGGUCCCGGCGCCUUCUUCCGCUACAUGCGCCAGCCCAUCAAACAGGAGCUCAUCUGCAAGUGGCUGGCGGCCGACGGCCCCAUGCCCCCGCGCCUUUGCUCCAAAACUUUCAGCACCAUGCACGAGUUGGUCACGCACGUCACCGUGGAGCACGUCGGAGGCCCUGAGCAGGCCAACCACAUCUGCUUCUGGGAGGAGUGUCCGCGCCAGGGCAAGCCCUUUAAAGCCAAAUACAAACUUGUAAAUCACAUCCGCGUGCACACGGGCGAGAAGCCCUUCCCCUGUCCUUUCCCGGGGUGUGGGAAAGUCUUUGCUAGAUCAGAAAAUCUCAAAAUACACAAAAGAACUCACACAGGGGAGAAGCCCUUCAGGUGCGAGUUCGAGGGCUGCGAACGGCGCUUUGCCAACAGCAGCGACCGCAAGAAGCACUCGCACGUUCACACGAGUGACAAGCCCUACACGUGCAAAGUGCGCGGCUGCGACAAGUGCUACACGCACCCCAGCUCGCUGCGCAAGCACAUGAAAGUGCACGGGCGCUCGCCGCCGCCGCCCAGCUCUGGCUACGACUCGGCCACGCCGUCUGCCCUCGUGUCGCCCUCGUCGGACUUCGGUCGCGAGCCCCCGGCGGCCUCCUCGGCGGCGGUGGCGGCGCGGGGCGCCGACCUGAGCGAAUGUUUCCAGUCGGAGCCUCCUCGGAAUUCCUACGCGGGAAGAUGGCAGAGGAAACUCAUGAGCCAUUAUCUUCCUGUUUUCUUCCUCUUUUGCCUCCCUACACUUCCCCUCCCCCUGCUGUUCAAGUCCCAGAUCGAAAAUUUUCCAACCACUUCUGUAAAGGACACGAUAGGGAAGUGGGGGGUAGGGGUGUGGGAGGGGGAGGUUAAGCACCUUCCCUGCGGACUAUAUGCCCCUCCUCCAAAGACUGGCCCAGGCACACUGUCUGCGGACUUGUCUGCGGCUGCGGUAUGCAUUAUAUACCGGGGGUAG
rnacentral:lncRNA from 1 species